rnacentral:tRNA from 1 species
GUUUUAAUAGUUUAAAAAUAAAACAUUGGUCUUGUAAACCAAAAUUAAGUGUUCUUUUAAAACU